rnacentral:rRNA from 1 species
GCAAUUAUACCGUGAAACUGCGAAUGGCUCAUUAAAUCAGUUAUCGUUUAUUUGAUAGUACCUUACUACUUGGAUAACCGUGGUAAUUCUAGAGCUAAUACAUGCUGAAAACCCCAACUUCGGAAGGGGUGUAUUUAUUAGAUAAAAAACCAACGCCCUUCGGGGCUUCUUGGUGAUUCAUGAUAACUUCUCAGAUCGCAUGGCCUUGCGCCGGCGACGGUUCAUUCAAAUUUCUGCCCUAUCAACUUUCGAUGGUAAGGUAUUGGCUUACCAUGGUUUCAACGGGUAACGGGGAAUUAGGGUUCGAUUCCGGAGAGGGAGCCUGAGAAACGGCUACCACAUCCAAGGAAGGCAGCAGGCGCGCAAAUUACCCAAUCCCGACUCGGGGAGGUAGUGACAAUAAAUACUGAUACAGGGCUCUUUUGGGUCUUGUAAUUGGAAUGAGUACAAUUUAAACCUCUUAACGAGGAACAAUUGGAGGGCAAGUCUGGUGCCAGCAGCCGCGGUAAUUCCAGCUCCAAUAGCGUAUAUUAAAGUUGUUGCAGUUAAAAAGCUCGUAGUUGAACCUUUGGCCUGGCUGGUGGGUCCGCCUCACCGCGUGCACUCGUCCGGCCGGGCCUUCUCUUCUGGAGAACCUCAUGCCCUUCACUGGGUGGUGCUGGGGACCAGGACUUUUACUUUGAAAAAAUUAGAGUGUUCAAAGCAGGCCUUUGCUCGAAUACGUUAGCAUGGAAUAAUAGAAUAGGACGUGCGGUCCUAUUUUGUUGGUUUCUAGGACCGCCGUAAUGAUUAAUAGGGACAGUCGGGGGCAUCAGUAUUCAAUUGUCAGAGGUGAAAUUCUUGGAUUUAUUGAAGACUAACUACUGCGAAAGCAUUUGCCAAGGAUGUUUUCAUUAAUCAGUGAACGAAAGUUAGGGGAUCGAAGACGAUCAGAUACCGUCGUAGUCUUAACCAUAAACUAUGCCGACUAGGGAUCGGGCGGUGUUUCUAUAUUGACCCGCUCGGCACCUUACGAGAAAUCAAAGUG